GUAAAAAUACAGAUUUUAAUACCCGUCUUAUUUUAGUUCUAAGACUUGGCAAUUGCCAGGUAUCAUCUUUUCGAUUUACCCAGGUCCACCGCCGAGGCCACAAGGGAGAUUUCUUCCAGAGAGAGGAUAGAGUUAUUAAGUCUAAAGUCCAUUAUUUGCUUUUGUCCUUCAGGAAGAGAUGGUCCUGACUCUGGGUGGAUCUAACAAGGAUCCUGGAACUCCAGUUCUGCUUUUUGGAUUUACCGGGAACUUCCCAGUCCAGACGAUUGGAAUUACAGCAUUAUACUUUGACUGGUAUGAUCUUCUGCUUUCGGUAACCAUCCUGUAACAACAAAGCCACUGCUUCGAUACGUUUAGUUUCUGGAAUUAAAAUUUUAAUCUCUCCAUUUUUUAAUUUAAUUUCUGCCUCUAAGUUCUCCAGUAGAUCUCCCCUUAACAGGAGUUUAGGAGAAUUUGGCACAUACAAAAACUGCUGAGUGACCCAUUGCUUUCCUAAUUUCGUUGUUAAAAAUUUAAAGAAGGGUCUAGUUUCUCGUUCACUUGUUGCACCAACACCACCAAUUUCUUCAAAACUUAACUCUCCCUCUAAGGUAUUUAAAACUGAA